rnacentral:rRNA from 1 species
AUUGAACGCUGGCGGCAGGCCUAACACAUGCAAGUCGAACGAGUCGCGGACGGGUGUGUAAUGUCGGGAAAACCGCCUGAGGGAGGGAGAUAACUACGGGACAGGGUAGCUUAUACCGCAUACUAUCAUAAGCCCCCAGAUGGGAUUGGCUAGUUGGUGGGGUCACGGCUCACCAAGGCGACGCCCCAUAGCUGGUCUGAGAGGAUGACCAGCCACACUGGAACUGAGACACGGUCCAGACUCCUACGGGAGGCAGCAGUGGGGAAUAUUGCACAAUGGGCGCAAGCCUGAUGCAGCCAUGCCGCGUGUAUGAAGAAGGCCUUCGGGUUGUAAAGUACUUUCAGCGGGGAGGCGUUACCCGCAGAAGAAGCACCGGCUAACUCCGUGCCAGCAGCCGCGGUAAUAC